GGGCCCUCCCCGCGCACGCGCACGCGCAGCGCAGCGUGCUCCUUCGGUGUACGUUAGCGAGCUGUGGAGAACCGAGGAGUAACGGUAGGGCGGCCGAAGGCUGCGGUUGGGAUAAGGACAACAGCCCCCACUCAGCAGGAAGCAGUUUCAGAAGAUGAGGAAUAAGGAGGGACUCCAGAAGGGUGUCUGGGACCCAUAUGGACAACUGGAUGCAAACCUCUUCAUAGCUGACAUCAGCCAUUAAUCCUUUGCUUCAGUGUCACUGUGCUAGCUGGUGGGACAUUUGAUCACCCAUAGUAUACUGGAGUUAUUUCUGUAUGUAUCUAUUGCUGUUAUAAGACUUGUGAACUUUCUGAAGACAUGAUCCAGCAAGUAACAAAGAGAUGCGCCAAAAGCAAACAUUCAAUACAUGAAUUGAAUUGGGAAAGAGAUAAAAGGUUUCAAUGCAGGGCCAGAAAGGUCCUUUUGAAGCUUACAUCAGAGAAGAAUGCUGAUUCAAUUGUUGGCAGCCAUCUUGUAACCAGCCAUUGAUAAGCAGCUUCUAAAAUGGCCUUCAACCAUCUCAUCUCCUGGGAUUCAAACUCUUGAGGGUAGGCAAUACUUACUUUUUAAAAGAUAUAAUGAGGCAGAAGUGAUGUGAUGCAUUUUCAGAACUAGGUUAUAAAAUGACUGUGGUUUCCUUCCUGGGCAUUCUCACCCUCUGUAUUUGUUCACUUUGGGAAACUCCAAAUGCCAUCUCAGGAGGCAGUCAUGUGGAGAGACCCAUGUAUGGGAUAGAAUUCCACCCCCACCCCCACCCCGACAAGGUGACAGUUUAACUACAACCUCAUAAGAGACCUUAAGUCAAAGGCACCACCUGGCUAAGCCGUACCUAAACAGCUAACCCACAAAACUUAUGUUUAUUUAAGUUUUGGGGUAAUUUGUCACAUAACAACAGAUAAGUAAUACACAGCUUAGAAGAGGAAAAAAUAGAAAAUAAUAGGGUGAGAGCCCUGACCAUACAGACCUGGAAACCAUUCAACUUCUGGACUUUCUAGGGUACCUGCGUGGCUCAGUCAGUUAUUUGUCUGACUUCAGCUCAGGUCAUCAAGUCCUGGAAUUAAGUCCCACAUUAGGCUCUGUGAUCAAUGGGGAAUUUGCUUGCACUCCAUCCCUCCCCCUGCUCAUGCUUUCCCUCAUUCUCUCUCAAAUAUUUAAAAAUUAAAAAAUUAAAAAAACAACUUCUCAAUUUUCUGUAAUGUGAAGUAAUA